rnacentral:rRNA from 1 species
UACGAAGGGGGCUAGCGUUGCUCGGAAUGACUGGGCGUAAAGGGCGCGUAGGCGGAUGGCACAGUCAGAUGUGAAAUUCCCGGGCUUAACCUGGGGGCUGCAUUUGAUACGUGUUGUCUUGAGUUCGGAAGAGGGUCGUGGAAUUCCCAGUGUAGAGGUGAAAUUCGUAGAUAUCGGGAGGAACACCGGUGGCGAAGGCGGCGAUCUGGGUAGAUACUGACGCUGAGGUGCGAAAGCGUGGGGAGCAAACAGG